rnacentral:misc_RNA from 1 species
GGCAACAAUUCUAAUAGUAAUACUAAAUAGGUCUAAAAUCAUUGGUCCCAAUGGGUAGAUCUUCUUAAAUUGUAUAUGUAUACAUAAUCCAUCAACAGACGAUGACAAUUCCUUUGACAAUAAAGGAUUCGAUCUCCCUCGCACUGGCAAGAAACUCUCACAAAGCACGCUCACUUUAAGGUAGAAGGAAAUAUAACUCGCUGAGUUGAGUACCAUAGAAAGUCCAGCCCCUCCUCUCCUUGAGAGUCCACUUCACUUCCUUCUAGUCAUGGGCUUUGCCCCAGUCCUUGCACCAAGAGCUGGAAAGGUUGUUGGAUAGCUGUAGGCAAUAGAUCCAGAGGCAGAGGCAAAGCUAGAAAAUUUAAUUUUUUUAUCUUGAAUGGGUCAAUGUUAUAUAAAAUCAAUUUGAAAACUAAUUAAUUAAACUAAUUAUAUAUAUAUAUGUUAAAAAGUUAGAAUAAUAAAGCGUAAUUAAGUUGGACAUUUUUUUAAGGAUGUCUAUGUUAAAAAAAUAAAAAUUGUUUUGUUAGGGCAAAUAACUACAAUAAAAUAAUUUAAUUUUUUCAUGGAUAUACACACACACACAAACACCUUUAGAGGUGUUGGAGGCCAUAGCUCCCGUUUGCCUCCCCUCCCCCUGCACUUGAAUAGAUUGAUUUGAGUUAUUCAUUAAAUUGCCAUAUACAAUUUGAUGAAUGAGGAAAUUGCUCACUCUUAGCCAUACCAAAAUCAGUGAAUGUCUGACAAUGAAAAUGAUGCAGUUCGUACCCCAAAUUGAAGUACCGACUCCAAAUGCCAAUUUGUUCAAACAUAUUCAACUACUGAAUGUCUGUUCUAAGAAUCCAAAAGAGCUUCUAAUUAAAUUAACAAGUCCCUGACCACCAAAAUUAAUAAAAUCAUGACCAAACCAGAGUAGAAGGAUGCCUUAAAUGAGAGCUUGAUGAUUGCUCUUCUGAGAUAAUGAAAAGAAAGAGAGAGAGAGAGAGA